UAGGGAAUCUUCCACAAUGGGCGAAAGCCUGAUAGAGCAACGCCGCGUGUGUGAUGAAGGGUUUCGGCUCGUAAAACACUGUUGUAAGAGAAGAAUGACAUUGAGAGUAACUGUUCAAUGUGUGACGGUAUCUUACCAGAAAGGAACGGCUAAAUACGUGCCAC
rnacentral:rRNA from 1 species